AACGAACGCUGGCGGCAUGCCUAACACAUGCAAGUCGAACGAGGCCUUCGGGUCUAGUGGCGCACGGGUGCGUAACGCGUGGGAACCUGCCCUUAGGUUUGGAAUAACUCCCCGAAAGGGGUGCUAAUACCGGAUAAUGUCUUCGGACCAAAGAUUUAUCGCCUUUGGAUGGGCCCGCGUUGGAUUAGCUAGUUGGUAGGGUAAAAGCCUACCAAGGCGACGAUCCAUAGCUGGUCUGAGAGGAUGAUCAGCCACACUGGGACUGAGACACGGCCCAGACUCCUACGGGAGGCAGCAGUGGGGGAUAUUGGACAAUGGGCGAAAGCCUGAUCCAGCAAUGCCGCGUGAGUGAUGAAGGCCUUAGGGUUGUAAAGCUCUUUUACCCGGGAUGAUAAUGACAGUACCGGGAGAAUAAGCUCCGGCUAACUCCGUG
rnacentral:rRNA from 1 species